AGCUGGUAUUUUCCCGCACUUAAUUUAGCUUAUCUGCUAGCUUGCACCUAGUAACAUAUAGGACCUACCACUUUUCUGUAUUGUUGAAAACACCUUGGAAAGUUGAGUAAAAUGUUUACUAAGAUUUUUUUUACACUUGUGGUCUUAGGAGUUGCCCCAAGUGUUCGGGCACAGGUAGCCAGUCAAUGUAAUGUAGCGUGUCCCUUCAUCUAUAUGCCCGUGUGCGCUAGCAAUGAUCUAACUUACGCCAACAAGUGUGUCAUGGAGUCCAUGUCUUGUGUCGAUGGACUGGGUUUAACUUUGAAGCAUGAAGGAGCUUGCGCAGCUAAAUAAAUAAAAACCACUGAGCCAACAACUUGAAGGAUCAUCAUAAACCAAAUCACAAGUGUUUUGAAAUAAUAAAAAUUAGGCUAACAUUUAGAUUUAACAGGCAUAACUCUUUUAAAAAAAAAUGAUUAGGUGAUUAGUUUAGGCCUAGUGCCGCCUAGAUCUAUGUUGUCAAUUUUUUUUUUUGGUUUAUUGUUUGACUAUAAAUAUCUAGUAGAUCUAGAUCUAUAAAGAUUUGUCAUCGGCUUUGUGCUGAACCAUUUGUUCCACAUUAAAAAUGUAUUUGAAUGUUGUAAAACCAAAAUAUUUUAAAUUUACUGUACAGGCCUAGAUUAGAUCUAAUACUAAUAUUAAUAAACAACUUGCUCAACUCAU